rnacentral:rRNA from 1 species
GCUCAGGACGAACGCUGGCGGCGUGCUUAACACAUGCAAGUCGAACGAAGAGCGAUGGAAGCUUGCUUCUAUCAAUCUUAGUGGCGAACGGGUGAGUAACGCGUAAUCAACCUGCCCUUCAGAGGGGGACAACAGUUGGAAACGACUGCUAAUACCGCAUACGAUUUAAUCUCGGCAUCGAGGAUAGAUGAAAGGUGGCCUCUACAUGUAAGCUAUCACUGAAGGAGGGGAUUGCGUCUGAUUAGCUAGUUGGAGGGGUAACGGCCCACCAAGGCGAUGAUCAGUAGCCGGUCUGAGAGGAUGAACGGCCACAUUGGGACUGAGACACGGCCCAGACUCCUACGGGAGGCAGCAGUA